rnacentral:lncRNA from 1 species
CUGUGGAGGCAGUGGUUGAAGGCCAAUGGCUCCUGGUGUCAUUAAAGACUCUGUUUUUACCUCCUCUGGGCCUCGGGAGACCAGCCUGGCACCAGAGGAGGGGCUGGCAGAGCCCCAGGCUCCAGUCCACACCCACCGGCCCCAGGUCUGGCCAUGGGCUGGGCCCUGGUGUGCAGACAGCAGUGGCCACUGCUCCAGGGCCUUUGCACCAGCCUGCUGCAGGUCCAGGCGGUCAUGGGGAGUGGAGCCGCAGCGGCCUCUUGUUUUCCUUCCCCUCUUGGGAGACGGCUGCUCCUCCUGGCUGUUUCCAGAAAGUGUGUUUGUUAUUUGGCUCCUGGAAACACCAUCUGAUGAAACAGGCUCUGUUGGGCUGGCCUGCCAGGCGGAGGCUGUGGGCGCCCAGGAGUCUCACCACGAAGCAGGUGGCAGAGGCCCGAUAGCCCCACCCUGCAGGCCGGGACCUGGCACCUAAACGGGGAGAUGGAAGAACAUGGAAAAUUCCCUAAGAGCAAAUUGAUGCUCAGCUUCCGCGGGCACCAACUUGCUGCGGAAUCCUGCUUUGCAGAUCAUCGUUCCUCGAGCAUUCGGACGCCUCGGGCCCCAGAAGUUCAAGAACAAGAAAGCUCUGUUUCAUGCAGACACGCUCACGCAUGCACACAUGCUCACACAUGCACUUAUACGUGCACACACACACACACAACACACACACACGCACACUCACACAACCAUGGCCAUGUAGCCCCAGUCUCAGCAUCAUGUCCUCUAUUUAGAAAUAUUGGCUAAACACCUAAUAAAUAACUAAACAGAAAUGUAAUCUUUAAUAAAGUCUCAUAAACCAAAA